rnacentral:rRNA from 1 species
UACGGGGGGGGCAAGCGUUGUUCGGAAUUACUGGGCGUAAAGGGCUCGUAGGCGGCCAACUAAGUCAGACGUGAAAUCCCUCAGCUUAACUGGGGAACUGCGUCUGAUACUGGAUGGCUUGGAUUCGGGAGAGGAAUGCGGAAUUCCAGGUGUAGCGGUGAAAUGCGUAGGUAUCUGGAGGAACACCGGUGGCGAAGGCGGCAUUCUGGACCGACAUUGACGCUGAAUAGCGAAAGCCAGGGGAGCAAACGGG